rnacentral:rRNA from 1 species
UUCGUAGGGUGCAAGCGUUAAUCGGAAUUACUGGGCGUAAAGCGUGCGCAGGCGGUUUUGUAAGUCUGUCGUGAAAUCCCCGGGCUCAACCUGGGAAUUGCGAUGGAGACUGCAAGGCUAGAAUCUGGCAGAGGGGGGUAGAAUUCCACGUGUAGCAGUGAAAUGCGUAGAGAUGUGGAGGAACACCGAUGGCGAAGGCAGCCCCCUGGGUCAAGAUUGACGCUCAUGCACGAAAGCGUGGGGAGCGAACAGG